AUUAGCUAGUUGGUGGGGUAAUGGCCUACCAAGGCGACGAUCUUUAGCUGGUCUGAGAGGAUGAUCAGCCACACUGGGACUGAGACACGGCCCAGACUCCUACGGGAGGCAGCAGUGGGGAAUAUUGGACAAUGGGCGCAAGCCUGACCGAGCGACGCCGCGUGGAGGACGAAGGCCUUCGGGUUGUAAACUCCUGUCGAGGGGGAAGAAGGCCCCGAAAGGGGCUUGACUGAUCCCUGGAGGAAGCACGGGCUAAGUUCGUGCCAGCAGCCGCGGUAAGACGAACCGUGCGAACGUUAUUCGGAAUCACUGGGCUUAAAGCGCGUGUAGGUGGGACGGCACGUCGGUCGCUGAAAGCCCCCGGCUCAACCGGGGAACGGGCGCCGAUACGACCGUCCUGGAGGGACGUAGGGGGAGCUGGAACUUCCGGUGGAGCGGUGAAAUGCGUUGAGAUCGGAAGGAACGCCCGUGGCGAAAGCGAGCUCCUGGACGUUUUCUGACACUGAGACGCGAAAGCCAGGGAGCGAACGGGAUUAGAUACCCCGGUAGUCCUGGCCGUAACGAUGGGCACUGGGUAGGGGCUCGCCGAUGGGCUCCUGCCGUAGGAAACCGUGAAGUGCCCGCCUGGGAGUAUGGNCAGGCUGAA
rnacentral:rRNA from 1 species